GGAAUGUUGUGCCAUUGAUUCAUAAUAAAUUAUUUCUAAAUUAUUUGUUUUCAGACAGGAAGAAUUUUCUUUGCAAUGAAAGCCAUAGGUUAUUUAAACAUUUCUGUCUGUUGUAAAGUCAAAUAAUAAAACAGAAAUCUUUAUACUAUACAAGAAAAUCACAGGGUCCAAGUCUGGAUGUGCUAUUUUAUUUGAUUUUAUUUUCAGUCAUUCAAUUUGCAGCUGUUUCUUGAUUCCACUUUAUUAUUUUACUGCCAGUAUACAGAAGGAUUCAUGUUGUCAAGGUAACAGAAAUUUUUAUGAAAUGUAACACUGAAGUUUUAAUUACCAAGUAAACUUUUUGCAUACAAAACGUUGUCUCAAAUUCUAUCCUUAUUUAAAAAUGUGUUUGCAAAAUGAUAGCAUAAAGGGUUUAUUUUGCUCGUGUGGAUUGAUAUAAACUA
rnacentral:lncRNA from 1 species